rnacentral:rRNA from 1 species
AGCAGCCGCGGUAAUUCCAGCUCCAAUAGCGUAUAUUAAAGUUGUUGCAGUUAAAAAGCUCGUAGUUGAAUUUCGAGACCGGUUUACUGGUCGUGCUUUUGUACGUACUGGUAUUAUUGGUUUCUCCUUUCUGACGAAUCUUAAUGCCAUUAAUUUGGUGUUUUGGGGAAUCAGGACUGUUACUUUGAAAAAAUUAGAGUGUUUAAAGCAGGCUCACGCUUGAAUACAUUAGCAUGGAAUAACGGAAUAGGACGUUUGAUUCUAUUUUGUUGGUUUCUAGGAUCGACGUAAUGAUUAAUAGGGAUAGUUGGGGGCAUUAGUAUUCAAUUGUCAGAGGUGAAAUUCUUGGAUUUAUUGAAGACUAACUACUGCGAAAGCAUUUGCCAAGGAUGUUUUCAUUAAUCAAGAACGAAAGUUAGGGGAUCGAAGACGAUCAGAUACCGUCGUAGUCUUAACCAUAAACUAUGCCGACUAGGGAUCGGAUGAUGUUAAUUUUUUAAUGACUCAUUCGGCGCCUUAC